UACGGAGGGUGCAAGCGUUAUCCGGAUUUACUGGGUUAAAGGGUGUGUAGGCGGGCAUUUAAGUCAGCGGUGAAAUCUCCGGGCUCAACCUGGAAACUGCCAUUGAUACUAUUUGUCUUGAAUUUUGUUGAGGUUGGCGGAAUAUGUCAUGUAGCGGUGAAAUGCAUAGAUAUGACAUAGAACUCCGAUUGCGAAGGCAGCUAACUAAGCAAAUAUUGACGCUGAGGCACGAAAGCGUGGGGAUCAAACAGGAUUAGAUACCCCGAGUAAG
rnacentral:rRNA from 1 species